rnacentral:rRNA from 1 species
GAACUGAAGAGUUUGAUCCUGGCUCAGAUUGAACGCUGGCGGCAUGCCUUACACAUGCAAGUCGAACGGCAGCGCGGGGGCAACCCUGGCGGCGAGUGGCGAACGGGUGAGUAAUAUAUCGGAACGUGCCCUAGAGU